rnacentral:snoRNA from 1 species
ACUAUGAUAGACCUUAACAAUUUGCUACGGUUCUUUUGGUUUGCACGAGGAUUCAAAAACAAAAACAAAACCCUGUACUUUCUGUCCUUCUUUGUACGGGACCAGAUCGAGUUAAGGAAUAUAUCA